UGCCAGCAGCCGCGGUAAUACGAGAGGCCCAAACGUUAUUCGGAAUUACUGGGCUUAAAGAGUUCGUAGGCGGCGCAGAAAGUAGGGUGUGAAAGCCCUCGGCUCAACCGAGGAAUUGCGCUCUAAACUACUGUGCUUGAGGAAUCUAGAGGUGAGCGGAACUGAUGGUGGAGCGGUGAAAUGCGUUGAUAUCAUCAGGAACACCGGAGGCGAAGGCGGCUCACUGGGGAUUUUCUGACGCUGAGGAACGAAAGCCAGGGGAGCGAACGGGAUUAGAUA
rnacentral:rRNA from 1 species